UGGUCUACUAUUUUACUAACGGAGGAAAAGAAACCAACAGGGAUUGCCCUAGUAACGGCGAGUGAAGCGGCAACAGCUCAAAUUUGAAAUCUGGCUCUUUUAGAGUCCGAGUUGUAAUUUGCAGAGGGCGCUUUGGCUUUGGCAGCGGUCCAAGUUCCUUGGAACAGGACGUCACAGAGGGUGAGAAUCCCGUACGUGGUCGCUGGCUAUUGCCGUGUAAAGCCCCUUCGACGAGUCGAGUUGUUUGGGAAUGCAGCUCUAAAUGGGAGGUACAUUUCUUCUAAAGCUAAAUAUUGGCCAGAGACCGAUAGCGCACAAGUAGAGUGAUCGAAAGAUGAAAAGCACUUUGGAAAGAGAGUCAAACAGCACGUGAAAUUGUUGAAAGGGAAGCGCUUGCAGCCAGACUUGCUUACAGUUGCUCAUCCGGGUUUCUACCCGGUGCACUCUUCUGUAGGCAGGCCAGCAUCAGUUUGGGCGGUAGGAUAAAGGUCUCUGUCACGUACCUCCUUUCGGGGAGGCCUUAUAGGGGAGACGACAUACUACCAGCCUGGACUGAGGUCCGCGCAUCUGCUAGGAUGCUGGCGUAAUGGCUGUAAGCGGCCCGUCUAAA
rnacentral:rRNA from 1 species